rnacentral:tRNA from 1 species
GCUUUCAUAGCUCAGGUGGUAGAGCGCAUCAUUGGUAAUGAUGAGGUCACGGGUUCAACUCCCGUUGAAAGCU